UUAUGGCCAUAUCAUAUUGAAACAUUGGUUCCCAUACCAUCACCGGAGUUAAGCAAUGUUGAACCUACUCAGUACCUAGAUGAGUGAUUGCUUAGGAAGGCAGGUGCUGUAAG